rnacentral:rRNA from 1 species
CUCAUUAAAUCAGUUAUAGUUUAUUUGAUGGUCUCUUUGUUCUUCUUUUUACCUACUUGGAUAACCGUGGUAAUUCUAGAGCUAAUACAUGCGCAAGGUCCCGAGCGCGGAGGGUAGGGCUUCACGGCUCUACUCUUGCAUGCGUAGAGGGAUGUAUUUAUUAGGUUAAACAACCAGCAUUUUUUUCAUUUCUGGGUGAUUCAUAGUAACUCUUUUCGGGAUCGCAUUUCAUG